rnacentral:lncRNA from 1 species
UCUAUUAAAUCAUCCCCACACCCUCCUCUUCUUCUGAUUUCUUCCCUUGCAACCAGACACACUCACUCAGAGACAGUUGAAGGAAAUGGCCAUCGUCACCUCCGCCGCAGUCGCCAUCCCCUCAUUCACCGGCCUCAAGGCCUCCGGCGCAACCAUGACCCGCGCUGCCGCCACCGUCAAGACCAUCACCGCACCGGCCCCGAGGCUCGUGGCCAAGGCUGCACUGAAGGACGUGGGAGUGGCCGUCGUCGCCACCGCCGCCAGCGCUUUGCUCGCCAGCAAUGCCAUGGCCAUGGAGGUCUUGCUCGGCAGCAGCGACGGAGGCCUGGUGUUUGUGCCGUCGACCAUCACCGUCCCCGCCGGA